rnacentral:rRNA from 1 species
AUGCACGCUGGCGGCGUGCCUCAUCCCUGCAAGUCGCGCGAACGGACGAGAAGCUUGCUUCUCUGAUGUUAGCGGCGGACGGGUGAGUAACACGUGGAUAACCUACCUAUAAGACUGGGAUAACUUCGGGAAACCGGAGCUAAUACCGGAUAAUAUUUUGAACCGCAUGGUUCAAAAGUGAAAGACGGUCUUGCUGUCACUUAUAGAUGGAUCCGCGCUGCAUUAGCUAGUUGGUAAGGUAACGGCUUACCAAGGCAACGAUGCAUAGCCGACCUGAGAGGGUGAUCGGCCACACUGGAACUGAGGCACGGUCCAGACUCCUACGGGAGGCAGCAGUAGGGAAUCUUCCGCAAUGGGCGAAAGCCUGACGGAGCAACGCCGCGUGAGUGAUGAAGGUCUUCGGAUCGUAAAACUCUGUUAUUAGGGAAGAACAUAUGUGUAAGUAACUGUUCACAUCUUGACGGUACCUAAUCAGAAAGCCACGGCUAACUACGUG